rnacentral:misc_RNA from 1 species
ACUCAGGUCAAAGGUUACCAAACAAGAUGGCGAACUUUGCAGAGGUUGUGCGGGCAGUGCGCCAAGUGUUCAGGACAGGGCGCACCAAAACCUAUGAAUGGCGUUACGCACAGCUGUCGGCCAUGUUGAAGAUGAUGGAUGAAAACAAAGACAGGAUGACAGCAGCGCUGAAGAAGGACCUGAACAAGAACAAGAUAGAAUCUAUGAUCAUGGAGUUCAACCUGUGCCGUAAUGAGCUGAUCCUGUCCAUGAACAAUCUCAAAGACUGGAUGAAACCAGAGAAGGUGAAGAAGGAGCUAAUGAACAUCAUGGACAAGUGUUACAUCAAGCGAGAACCCUACGGCCUGGUGCUGGUUCUCGGAGCGUGGAACUACCCCGUCCAACUGACCCUCCUGCCCAUGAUAGCCGCCAUAGCUGCAGGAAAUUGUGUGAUUGUCAAACCUUCAGAAAUGUCCGAGCAGACGGCCAUCUUGCUGGAAGAGAUUGUGCCAAAGUACUUUGAUAAUGAGUGUGUGAAAGUCAUCAACGGUGGCAUCCCCGAGACAACAGGCCUGCUGCAGGAGAGGUUUGACUACAUCUUCUACACCGGCAACAACGUCGUUGCUAAGAUAGUGAUGGCUGCCGCUGCUAAGAACCUAACGCCCGUCACGCUGGAACUGGGAGGUAAAAGCCCUGUGUAUGUUGACCGGAACUGUGACCUGACAACAGUUGCUAGGAGACUUGUCUGGGGGAAGUUUCUCAACGCGGGACAGACAUGUAUAGCUCCUGACUACGUCAUGUGCCAAUCAGAUGUCCAGGACCCGCUUAUUGAGGAAAUAAGGAAAGUGUUGAUCGACUUCUUCACUGAUAAACCAGAGCAGUCCGAGAGCUUUGGUCGCAUUGUGAAUGGCCGACACUUCAAACGUGUGGAGAAGCUGUUGACGGGGGUGAAGGUAGCUGUGGGGGGUGUCACCAGGGAAGAGGAGAGAUAUAUCUCCCCUACUAUCGUCCGGGACUGUAAGCUAAGCGAUGCCGUCAUGCAGGAUGAGAUAUUUGGACCUAUCCUGCCGUUUUAUGUUGUGAGAGAUGACAAAGAAGCUGUCGACUUCAUCAACGACCGAGAGAAGCCACUUGCCAUGUACGUCUUCUCCAGAAACCAGCGCAUCAUUGACAACUUCGUCAACAACACCAGUAGUGGCGGCAUGUGCAUCAACGACUGCAUCAUGCAUGCAUCCAUGCCCUCGAUGCCGUUCGGAGGUGUAGGCCACAGUGGGAUGGGGGCAUACCACGGCAAGUUCUCCUACGAUACCUUCAGCCACAGGAGAUCCGUGAUGCAGAGAGAUCUUAAAAUGGAGUCUGUCAAUGCACUUCGGUAUCCCCCAUACACAGAGAAGAAGUUUGGCAUCAUCAAGUGGUUGACUAAGAAGUCUGUCAAGAGAACCGGAAUCAUGUCCUUCUUCCCCCUAGUCCUCUGUGGGGCUGUUCUGGCCUUCUUCCUCAAGGCGGUGGGAGUGCAAGCAAGAUGGCCCUCCCUGGGGGAACGAUAGAUACAACUCUCUGAAGAACAAGAGAUGGUCCCAACAACAGCUUUACAGAGGACCACUCCCCAUUCCGAUCAGUCACAAUUAUAGACAAAGAUAUUUGUUUUUGUUGCCAAGUUAUUUAUACCAUUGCAUUCAACACCAACUCAAGGAUUAAAGAACAACUAGGUUCCAGCAUAAUGGCAGCCCCAGCAACUUGAUUACUACGUCAUUACACAGCAUGACAGUUUCACACAAGGCACUGAUUAUAAUGUCGAGUUCUGGACUGAUUGUUUGUUGUUUAACACUGCACUCGGCAAUAUUCCAGUUAUAUCAUCUUGGACCGUAAAUAAUUGAGUCCGGACCAUACAAUCAAGUGAGUGACGUCAUGAGCAUCGAUCUACCGCAUUUUGGACACAAUGACAUUCAUCAACCAAGUCAGCAAACUUGACCAUUAGUCACCUCUUAUGACAAGUAUGGGUUGCUGGAGACCAAUUCUAACCUGGAUCUUCACUGGCUCUACUCCAAGGCUGAAAAAGAAACACCUUGUAUUGUCCCUCUUAACAUGUGAUAAUGUGCAGGUCUAAUAUGAGUAUAUAUAGUCUUCUGAAGACAGUCAUUGGGGAACAUACCAUUAGGACAAUGUUUGUGUGUGUUACACUGUAUUGUGAACUGAACCUUUUUGCAUAUUAGGCCAUGGAAGACGGUCCACCUUAUAUAGGAUAUAAUGACUUUGUUCAAUGGGACACUUAUCAGAGACAGCUUCCACAAGGUAAUGUUGGUGCAUUAUUACUCUCAUAUUUGAACAGGGGACAUAGGUCACCAAGUCGCUCAGAGUUGUGCCCCUUAGGCAUGGCAGAAACCUCUGAUCAUGAGUUUGAAUCCCAUUCACCCUGAUUAUGUUUCUAGGUUUGUUUGCUCGAGACUUUCAUGAAAGUGGUAACCCUCUGAGACCUGCAUCACUUUGGGCUUUUCUCUCACAUCAAACGGACAUACCAUGAUAUAAUGUAAAUACUGUGCAAAGUGGUGUUAAACCCAACUCCCUCACUCAUACAUGAA